CAGCUCCAAUAGCGUAUAUUAAAAUUGUUGCAGUUAAAAAGCUCGUAGUUGAAUUUCUGCUAUAAAUAACCRGUCUGCUUUUAAUAAAAGUAGUACCUUGGUCUGUUUUUAGCAAUAAUGUCCUUUGAAAUGUUUUUUACUUUAUUGUAAUAAAUUAUAUUCAGGAUUUUUACUUUGAGAAAAUUAGAGUGUUUCUAGCAGGCUAACGCUUUGAAUACUGCAGCAUGGAAUAAUAAAAUAGGAUUUUGGUUCUACAUUAUUGGUUUUAAGAGCUAAAUUAAUGAUUGAUAGGGACAGUUGGGGGCAUUUGUAUUUAACUGUCAGAGGUGAAAUUCUU
rnacentral:rRNA from 1 species